rnacentral:rRNA from 1 species
CCUACGGGAGGCAGCAGUGGGGAAUAUUGGGCAAUGGGCGCAAGCCUGACCCAGCAACGCCGCGUGAAGGAAGAAGGCUUUCGGGUUGUAAACUUCUUUUCUGAGGGGCGAAGAAAGUUACGGUACCUCAGGAAUAAGCCACGGCUAACUACGAGCCAGCAGCCGCGGAAAUACGUAGGAGGCAAGCGUUAUCCGGAUUGAUGGGGUUUAAAGGGCGUGUAGGCGGGAAGGCAAGUCAGAUGUAAAAAUCAGGGGCUCAACCCUGAGCCGGCAUUGAAACUGUUUUUCUUGAGUGCUGGAGAGGCAAUCGGAAUUCCGUGUGUAGCGGUGAAAUGCAUAGAUAUACGGAGGAACACCAGUGGCGAAGGCAGAUUACUGGACAGUAACUGACGCUGAGGCACGAAAGCGUGGGUAGCAAACAGGAUUAGAUACCCUUGUAGUC